rnacentral:rRNA from 1 species
CCUACGGGCGGCAGCAGUAGGGAAUCUUCCACAAUGGGCGAAAGCCUGAUGGAGCAACGCCGCGUGGGUGAAGAAGGUCUUCGGAUCGUAAAACCCUGUUGUUAGAGAAGAAAGUGCGUGAGAGUAACUGUUCACGUUUCGAUGGUAUCUAACCAGAAAGCCAGGGCUAACUACGUGCCAGCAGCCGCGGUAAUACGUAGGUGGCAAGCGUUAUCGGGAUUUAUUGGGCGUAAAGGGAACGCAGGCGGUCUUUUAAGUCUGAUGUGAAAGCCUUCGGCUUAACCGGAGUAGUGCAUUGGAGACUGGGAGACGUGAGUGCAGAAGAGGAGAGUGGAACUCCAUGUGUAGCGGUGAAAUGCGUAGAUAUAUGGAAGAACACCAGUGGCGAAAGCGGCUCUCUGGUCUGUAACUGACGCUGAGGUUCGAAAGCGUGGGUAGCAAACAGGAUUAGAUACCCCGGUAGUC